CAUCCGCCGACUACGCUGAUGCAGCCGCAGCUGCUUCCGCAUACCGCGACCAUCCAGCGCCGUGGUCUCGUGCCAAGCGCGAUUCUCGGGAUCCGGAGUGCCUGUCCUCCCAAAUCUCGACCCUCGCCGGAGUCGUGUGGUGGUGGAUCUGCCGCCGGCAGAUCACCGCCAUGGCUUGGCGAGGAAUUUUCAGGCAUGCAUGACGAAUUUGGCUGGCCGUACCGAUCAACGAUCAUGCAGAUAAACGCUUUGGCCCACGGGAUACUUGGAAGGCUGGCAAGCGGCAAAUAAGUCAAAAUACAGCUAUACAUCGAUCACAUAGCUUCCUUGUAGCGUAUGAUUCCCAUGUGAAAUACUUCAGCCAACAUUAUUGAUUCAUUUGGUUUUCCAACUGCAUCAUGGUUUCUCCUUUCCUGUGAA